rnacentral:lncRNA from 1 species
GUAGCCGCCAGGGACGUUGGAGUCGUAGUACCUGGCCGGCUCCUUGACGGCGACGCGGACGUCAAGCUUCCCCUGGGGCCUCCCGGAGGGGCGCUUCAGCCUCAGGUUCCUGGACGCCUUGCCCCCGACGCCGGCGUCGUCGACGACGUCGCGGAGAGGGAGCCGGGCCGAGCCGACGAGCGGCUUGACGCCCUCGGCGGCGUUGGCGUGGACGACGUCGAUGUAGAGCACGGCGUCCUCCAGGCGGCUGGCGGGCGGGAGCGGGACGAGCACCUUCUCGUCCCAGGCGGGGUUGUCGCCGUUGUCGAGGUCGACGCGGGUGGAGCAGCGCGCGCCGGCGUCGAUCCAGAGCACGGCGUAGGGCUUGAGGUCGCCGUUGCGCCAGUUGACGUUCUUGAGGUCGCGGGCGGAGCCGACGGUGAUCUCCACCUCGUACCGCGAGCCCAUCUUGUGGCGCUGGUGGUGGUGGUGUUGUCCGGCGGCGAUGUGAUGAGGUGAGGUUGGAGUGGGAGUGGGAGGACGGGUUGAGGAAGCCGGUGGGCAUAAAUAGCCGCCAGGAGCGCGUGCGCGGGGCGGCUCGGGCUGGGGGCGCGUGCACUGGGGAUGGUGCGGCGCAGCCCGUAAUGUUUGACUGCAAAGCGGGCCCGGCGUCUCUGGUUAGGUAUAGGAUAUGAACUAUUCAAUGCAUUUUCUAGGUGUGCAUGCAUGCAUGCGGUUGGGUCAACGGUCAUAUUUUCUUUGUAUUUUUCUUUGGUAGGAUGUGUACAUUGUCAUGACAAUAUUGGCAUAUCCUAUCUCUAUCUCUAUCUAUCUUUGGACUAUCUAGAAAAAUUAUUAUUACUUAGCAUCGAAGGGAUUGCUAAAGAUUUUAUUUAGGAUAUGCCAAUAAUCCAAUGCAGAAAGUUUAAAGAGUGAAUUAUUUCUAGAAUCUCCUCAGACCUAAGUACUCCCUCCCUCCGUCACAGUUUACACGGCGCGCUUCGAUACUUAGCAUCGAAGGGAUUGCACAAGACUUAAUUAGGAGGUGGCAUGCACAAGUUACUAAGGAGUAUAAUGAAUGAGUAGCUACCCAAUUUGGAUCCUCCAAAUUAACACUCAACACACAUACUACUACUGGCAUAUCCUAUCUUUGUUUCUAACAUUAUUACUAUUACUAUUACUACUUAGGCUCGAAGGGAUUGCACAACACUUAGGAUAUCCGAAUAAUCCAAUGAAGAAACUAAGAGAGUAAUUCACCUCUAGAAUCACUUCGAACCUAAGUAAUACUCCCUGCGUUCCUAAAUAUACGAUGUUUUCGUAGUUGAGGGAAUACAUAAUAAUUAUGAAUUUACUAGCGCAUGUAGAAAGUAAAAGAGUACUACUACCUCCCUCCGGGUUUACUGGUCCCCAUUAUAUUCCGUGCCAAAAUUUGACCAUAGAUUAAACUAACAAAAUGUUUACGCAUGUCACCAGACAUUAUAUUUUUGAAAACUAUGUUCAAAUACGAAUCCAAUGAGAUAAUUUUUCUUGACAUACAUUAACAUUUUGUUAGUUAAAUCUUUAGUCAAAAUUUGACACAAACUACAAAGGGGACCUAUAAACCAGGACGGAGGUAGUACAACUACUAGAAUGAAUGAAUUAAUGAAUAGCUUACUAGCCGAAUUGGAUUCUUCCAAAGUAAGUCUAGUUGGAGGGGUGGAGAGUGUCCAACUUUGAAAAAAAAGGGGCCCCAUCAAAUGAAAGCAUUGCAUUGCAUGACCAUUUCAUUUUCCUUCUUCCAAAACUUGCAUUGACAACGCCCAUUACUGGAGUCAAUCUUGAUGACCAUAUAACUAUCUUGGUCGCACCGCUUCACAUGUAGGCCCACAUAUCUAAAGCACGACACCACACAGACGCCCGUUGGCCCGCAUUUGAUCCCUCUCUCCGAACUAGUAAGUUACAUGUGUGUAAUCGGAUAUCGGCAUUGAACAUUUUUAUGAUAUACACUGGACAUUUUUCAAACUACACAAUGAUUUCUUUAAUAUGAUACAUAUUUUUAUAUAUGAUGCACAUUUUUUAAAAUGGAAAAACAAUUUAAUAAUACAUGAUUAACUCUUGUAUAAGACGAAAAAAAGAGAAGAAACACAUAUUUCAUUGUAUUAAUGUAUUAAUGAAAAAAAGCUUGAUGCAACAUUUUUAAAGUAAUAAUAGACAUAAAAGGAAAAGAAAAAUCCGGAAAGAAAAACCAAACAAACAAAAAACAAUAAAAAGAGGAAAGAACCAGAAAAGAAAAAAAGAAAAAUAAGACAAAAUAAAAGUAACUGAAUAAACGAACAAAAAGAAACAGCAAACACACAGCAGGNNNNNNNNNNNNNNNNNNNNNNNNNNNNNNNNNNNNNNNNNNNNNNNNNNNNNNNNNNNNNNNNNNNNNNNNNNNNNNNNNNNNNNNNNNNNNNNNNNNNNNNNNNNNNNNNNNNNNNNNNNNNNNNNNNNNNNNNNNNNNNNNNNNNNNNNNNNNNNNNNNNNNNNNNNNNNNNNNNNNNNNNNNNNNNNNNNNNNNNNNNNNNNNNNNNNNNNNNNNNNNNNNNNNNNNNNNNNNNNNNNNNNNNNNNNNNNNNNNNNNNNNNNNNNNNNNNNNNNNNNNNNAUGCCACAAGGUGGCUUCGUGUGAGGGCAAGACUGCUGCCGGAAUAUCCAGGAACGAGUAUGCAAGUAGCACGCGCUGGUUUACCCAGGUUCGGGGCUCUCCGGAGAGAUAACACCCAUACUCCUGCAUGUCUGAGUAUAUCCGGUAUAUCUGAUACAGAGUGCUCCUGGAGCUGUAUCUGAGGUCAGUGCCGUAGGCAUCUGGCCUCGUAUAUGCAUAUGAGCACAAGUGUGUGCUUGGCCGAAUGGAGUGGCCGUGGUGGUGCUUGUGUGCUCAUGCGUGAGUGAGUGUGAGAGUGGAUGGUGGAUGGAUGGAUGGUUGCUAUAUAUAGGCAUGGCUAGCUUAGCAUGUAAGCUAUGUGGUGGUAUGGGAGCAAGGGGGUAUGGUGGGGUGUCAUGCUUGUCCCCUGGGUCACUUCAUAAAUAGUGUCAGGGGACAAGUGACACUAUACAUGAUGGCAUCGAGGUACAGCCGUCUCGUCCGCGGUAUGGCCGCCACGUCGGGGUCUUGUCGGGCUACAGUCAGCAGCCGGCUGGUUGGCGCAGUCGGCAGCCGGCUGGUUGGCGCAGUCAGCAGCCGGCUGGUUGGCGCAGUCGGCAGCCGGCAGCCGGCCGGGCAGAGCAAUCGGACGGGAAUCCGGCAGGAGCGGCCGGGCAGUCGGACUGAGGGGCUUUGCUAGCCCCGAUGUCUUGAUUUAUUGUCUCACCAUCUUCGAGGUAUCCGUGUCCAAUUACUUCGACAGUAGCCCCCAAGCCUCCAGGCAACUUGGCAAAGUUGGGUGGAGGUUUUUUGGCGAGUGUUCAUGGAAAUGAUCAUGAAAAAGACAAAGUUAGUCCACGUAGAUAUAUCAAAUGAUUGCUUUUAGCGUUGCAAGUUUUAUGCGGAGGGUGCCGACUCGGUUUCGUCCAAGCCCCCUUCAAUCUUUUUCGUGUUCCCUCCGUUUUUUGGCUUGUGCUCUCGCUCGCCGGAUAGCCGCUCUGCGAUCUGUGCCUGAGAGUGGGCCGCGAAGUGGAGUGUACAGUACUCAGACUCUGGGAGCAGAUUUAACCGAGCAGAUAUUUGUAAAGGAAAUGAUCGGGUUACCCGAAGCGUUUCUUUUCCCGGAUGUUUUUCGCGUGGGGUGACCUCCAGCUUUUGCUCUCGCUAGCCGGACAGCCGCUCUGCGGUCUGCGACUGAGAGGUGGGCCUUUGGUACUGCACAUGCUACUAAGCCGUCUGUGGGAAAAAACGUCUCAGGCCAAGCGCCAGCCCCCGGGCCAACUCUGGCUGGCACCGGGGCGAACAAUGGUGCAACUGCAAUAAAAAUGAGGAGAUAGCCCCCGAGCAUCGCUCGGGGUUAUCCGUGCUCUUGUGGUGAAAAAUAUGCAGGUGAGGAGCUCACAUUGGUUUUCGUGUAGCCGAGGCGGAGUUUGCCGAAGACAGCCGGCAUGGCUCAACGCUUGCUGAGCGCACCGGCGCACCCGCUGGUUGUAGUCUUCGAGCCUCCGGGUGCUCGAAGGGGAUCCUGGCCGGUCAGGCUCGACCGGCCAGGUGGCGAGGUGGCUUGCAGUACCCUUUUUUCUUCUUUUUCUCUUUUGCCGGCUGCUGGCAGCCGGACAAAAUUCUUCUCCUGUCUGCAAUCUUCCGUGGGGGCGCGCUAGCGCACCCACUGGGUGUAGGCCCCAAGAUUCGGGCCGACUACUGAGUAGCCGGGCUGGAUCUCCUGGGAACUACUUUGUCUUCUCUUUCUUCGUGGGGGUGCAUCAGCGCACCCGCUGGGUGUAGCCCCCGAGAUUCGGGCCGACUGCUGAGCAAUCGGGCCGGAUCUUCCGGCAACUACUUUGUCUUCUUCUUUGCGGGGUCCCGAUCUGUGUGUCUGAGGCUGAUGGUAACAGGAAGCAAGGGACACAAUGUUUACCCAGGUUCGGACCCUCUCGAUGGAGGUAAAACCCUACUUCCUGCUUGAUUAAUAUUGAAGAUAUAUGUAGUACAAGAGUAGAUCUACCACGAGAUCGUAGAGGCUAAACCCUAAGAGCUAGCCUAUGAUGGUAUGAUUGUAAUUGUGAUCGGCCUUCUAAGGACCAUCCUCUCCGGUUUAUAUAGACACCGGAGAGGGCUAGGGUUUACAUGGAGUCAGUUACAAGGAAGGAAACACAAUAUCCGGAUCGCCAAGCUUGUCUUCCACGCAAAGGAGAGUCCCAUCCAGAUACGGGCCGAAGUCUUGAGUCUUGUAUCUUCACGCUUCGAUAGUCCGGACGAUGUAUAUAGUCCGGCUGUCCGGAUACCCUCUAAUCCAGGACUCCCUCAGGCGCCCCUAUGUCUCGCUUCUAGGGAGACAUUCUUGAAUGAAUGAGUACCUACUAGCCGAAUUGGAUUCUUCCAAACUAAGUCUAGCUCAAGGGGUGGGGAGUGUCCAACUUUGAAAAAAGGAUCAAUCAAAUGAAAGCAUUGAAUUGCAUGACCAUUUCAUUUCCCUUUUUCCAAAAACUUGAAUUGACAAUUUCCCAUUUCCCAGUGCGCUGGUCCAUAUCGACAUGCCACAUUAUAAUGAGCAAAUAUACGACAUUUGAAGUCGCGUACCCACGAAACAUAAGAUGUAAAUUUAAGUCCCAUCACUCAUUCCAUUAAAUAUCAAAUUAUGACUACCGAAUAUUCGACCACACCAAAGUCGCAUAAAGUAUAUAAGAAUAGCCAAGUUCUUCAUCCGCAAAGACCAAAUGUUCUAUAGGCGAGGAUGUACUCGUCGAACUUCUUUGGACGAUGCAUGUAUCAUGUUGGAGACGAGCACGCGAUCGGAGAUGGGCAUGCCACAACCUUGGAGCAUGAUGGGAUCGACACAAAAGAGUCAGAGGAGAUGUCACCCGAGGUAGAAGGCACACAUGGCGUUCAGGCAUGACAAGCACGCGAUUAAGACUGCCGAUCCACAACCAGCCAACGGAAGAGGUGAGUAAAUCUUUGUUUCGAGUGGAGAAUGUUUGUUCUAGGGUUUCUCAACACCUAUUUGGUUUUGAUUAAUCACAUGUGGAAGGUUUUGGGUUUCUGGCAGCCUCAACUUUCGAUUAUCUUUGAACCGGUGAUGUCUAGGUAUGGGGAGGCAGCAGAUGGCCACCGCCGGCCAACACAAAAAUGUGAACUUUGGAUUUAUAUUAGACACUUUUACUAUUUAUAAGCUACUAGUUAUUAUUAGUUUAUAUUUAUAUAGUACAAAUGAGAACAUAUAGUGUUGCUGCUAUUAAGAUAUAUUGUAUUUGAUAUACAAUUCUUAUAUCUCAAUUACAAACACACAUGCAUUAAGUUAAACCAAUAUUUUACGGUGGUGUUUGUUUUAUACAUUGUUUCAUAUGAGAAAAAUAAAAUCCAAAAUCACAUUGCCUCUAGAUUAAUUUAUGUUGUUCAUGUGUUCACAUAUAUAUUUUAGUACCUUUAACCUUUAAAUAAGGUAUAGGGACUCCCUCCACAACCACGAGAGCUCUAGCUAAUGCUCACGAGUGUCAAACAGACGAGCUUUCGCACAUGCAAGUUUUGAAUGGGUCGGUCCAUUUGGUAGCGUCAUAGCAAGACACUACUAAAAUUCCAAAAAAAUGAUGUUCUAUCCCAUUCGGCGGUGUCAUAGUGAGAUGCUACUAAAAUCCCUCCAAAAUGAUGCUUUAUCGAGGAAUCAAACUCGCAACCCCACGGUAGAGAGCAAAGUGUUCUUUACCACUUGAUUAAUACAAUGCAUGAAAUGCAACGACAGAUCAAAAAAUAAACCAUUAAACAUUUUUAAAUAUACAUUGAACAUUUUUGUAAUAUACGGUUAACACUUCGUAAACACACAUGUUACAUAUUUAUAAUACAGGCUGAAAUAUUUUUUAAAUACACAUUCAACAUUUUUUUGAUAUGCGCCAAACAUUUUUUUAAUACACAAUGAUUAUUUUUUCUAAAACAUUGAACAUUUUCUUAAUAUACGUCAAACAUUUCAUUAAAUGUACUGUGAACAUUUUUUUAAUAAAUGAUUAACUCUUGUAUAAGACAUAAAAAACACAAAUUGUUCAUCGUAAUAAUGUAUUAAUGAAAAAAUGCUUGAUGAAAAUUUUCUUAUAACAUAUUAAUGGAAGAAAAAGGAAAAGAAAAAAGCAGAAAGAAAAACACAUAAAAAGAAUACCUAAAAAACAAACAACCAUAAAAACAGGAAAGAACAAGGAAGAAAACAAAACAAAUAAGCAACAAGCGAAAAGAACGAAACAGCGAACUGGGCUGGGCCACAUUGAGUGAAGUUCAUAUCUAUCCUGGACUAGCCGCUUCACAUUGGGCCCAGCUAUCUAAGCACUACACAGAAUAGAGACCCAUUGACAAAAAAAUCGAUGUGCAUAUAAAAUUACAUUUAUUAUAUUUAAAGUAUGAAAUUUUCAUAAUAGUGUAUUUUAUAUGUGGCAUACAAAAAAAAUGACAGAUACGUAUAUCAAUUGGUCUUUUCCUGGGAGGGAAGAAAUUUGGGUUUUACCGAUCACCAUAUUAUUUAAUGAAAGUUUACAUAUAUGUACUGAACGUGUAUAUACAUUUUGAAAGAAAAUGUUUAAAUUUGUUUCAAUGUUUAAAUAUCAUUUUUUGUUUGUUAAAAUACCGGGUUCCAUGGAGAUUUGGAGCCAAAAAUCCGCAUAUAUAUACCCUACUAGUGAGUUGCCCGUGAGCUGUGAGAGAUAUCAUUAUUGGCAUAUCUUUGAACCGGUGAUGUUUAGGUAUCGGGAGGCAGCAGAUGGCCACCGCCGGCCAACACAAAAAUGUGAACUUUGGAUUUAUAUUAAACACUUUUACUUUUUAUAAGCUACUAGUUAUUAUUAGUUUAUAUUUAUAUAGUACAAAUGAGAACAUAUAGUGUUGUUGUUAUUAAGAUAUAUUGUAUUGAUAUACAAUUCUUAUAUCUCAAUUACAAACACACAUGCCUCUAGAUUAAUUUACGUUGUUUAUGUGUUCACACACACACACACACACACACACACACACACACACACACCUUUAACCUUUAAAUAUCUUUACAAGAUAUUUAAAGGUAUAGGGACUCCCUCCACAACCACGAGAGCUCUAGCUAACGCUCACGAGUGUCAAACAGACGAGCUUUCGCACAUGCAAGUUCUGAAUGGGCUGGUCCAUUUGGUAGCGUCAUAGCAAGACACUACUAAAAUUCCAAAAAAUGGUGCUCUAUCCCAUUCGGCGGUGUCAUAGUGAGAUGUUACUAAAAUCCCUCUCAAAACGAUGCUUUAUCAAGGAAUCAAACUCGCAACCCCACGGUAGAGAGCAAAGUGUUCUUUACCACUUGAACUUAGUGAUUAAUACGAUGCAUGAAAUGCAGCGAUAGAUCCAAAAAAAAUCAACCAUUAAACAUUUUAAAUAUAAAUUGAACAUUUUUGUAAUAUACGGUUAACACUUCUUAAACACACACAUGACAUAUUUAUAAUAUACGCUGAAAUAUUUUUUAAAUACACAUUCAACAUUUUUUUAAUAUUCACCAAACAUUUUUUAAAUACAGAAUGAUUAUUUUUUCUUAAACAUUGAACAUUUUCUUAAUAUACAUUAAACAUUUCAUUAAAUAUACUAUGAACAUUUUUUUAAUAAAUGAUUAACUCUUGUAUAAGACACAAAAAACACAAAUUGUUCCUCGUAAUAAUGCUUUAGUGAAAAAAUGCUUGAUGAAAAUUUUAUUAUAACAUAUUAAUGAAAGAAAAAGGAAAAGAAAAAAGCGGAAAGAAAAACACAUAAAAAGAAUACCUAAAAAAACAAACAACCAUAAAAACAGGAAAGAACAAGGAAGAAAACAAAACAAAAAAGAAACAAACGAAAAGAACGAAACAGCGAACGCGCAGCAGGCGCUGCCGCAAACUGGGCUGGGCCAGAUUGAGUGAAGUUCAUAUCUAUCAUGGACUAGCCGCUUCACAUUUGGCCCACCUAUCUAAGCACUACACAGAACAGAGACCCAUUGACAAAAAAAUCGGUGUGCAUAUAAAAUUACAUUUAUUAUAUGUAAAGUAUGAAAUUUCAUAACAGUGUAUUUUAUAUGUGGCAUACAAAAAAAAUGACAGAUACAUAUAUCAAUUGGUCUUUUUCUGGGAGGGAAAUUUGGGUUUUACCGAUCACCAUAUUAUUUAAUGAAAGUUUACAUAUAUGUACGGAAUGUGUAUACAUUUCAAAGAAAAAUGGUUGAAUUUGUUUGAAAGUUUAAAUAUCAUUUUUUAUUGUUAAAAUACCGGGUUUCAUGGAGCCUUGGAGCCAAAAAUCCGCACUCCUAUAUAUACCCUACUAGUAAGUUGCCCGUGAGCUAUGAGAGAUAUCAUUACAACACAUUAUAGAAACACCAUGACAUUUACAUAUACAUAGGGAGUGUAAGUUACAAUUAUGUUAUGACUGGUAGCUGAAUUAAUUGAAAAACAAAUGUAAAUCGUACCUGCAUAGCGCUCCAAAUAUGUGGAUAUAACACAUUAUAUGCGUGUGUGGACCAGGCAACAACACUUGCAAAUAUCGCUAAGAAAAACAUGCAAAUAAUUGAAAUAUAAUAGUAAUAAUGGUUGCACCCGUUUGUUAAUCAUUCAAAUAAUAAAUCUAGGGUAUCUCCAGAAAUGCCUUUUGGUGCUCGGGCUACACACAGCUCUUUUUUCAACUCAAAGAAAAACUUCAACAAUUUUGAAAUCAAAUCAACACAGUAUCAUACGGAUGUAUACUCCAGGUGUGCAAAAUUUUAUUAUGAAAUAAAUUGAUACGCAAGCUACACAAAAAGGACAAGUUGGUGAAUUUGGACAUAGUGAACAGUACAACAGUGAUCACUACAUAAAACCAACAUUUUCCAUUUUCUUAUGUAGCUCGCAAAUCAAUGUAUUUUCUCAUGAAAUUUUACACACAUGUAGCAUAUAUGCAUCCAUAUGUCAUUUGUGGAAUUGUUUUCAGAAUUUUCUAAAACUUUGAAUUGUGAUUUUUUGAAUGCUCCAUAAAAAAGGCUCCAUUAGCCCAAGCACCAAAACGAUGCACUCGGGUAUCUCUCUCUCUCUCUCUCUCUCUCUGCAUGUAUAUAUAUAUGCACUAGCUUACGUGCAAAUUGUAUACUAGAAUAAUGGAAGCACGCACACAUGUAUCUGAGCUCAAAGUACAGGCAUGCACCUCUGUGCAAUACGAUCAAUUUGCUUUUGGGUUUAAAUUUAAAAUUUAAAAUCUAAGGGGACAGCUGCUAUAGGUAGCUACUCAGCCCUUUUCAUAUCGAUCUGUCCGUUGCAAGCACGCGAGGGGAGACGAACGAAUAUUGGACCACGCCAUUGUAUAAUCUACAGAGCACAAGUCUCAUACCAGUAUGUUGACUGCACAGCAAAUUUUAGACUGAUGGGAUCAAAACGGAGUACUAUACACCGUACUGUACUAUACCUUCUAUUGGACUUCUUUUGACCAUCCAAAUUAAUGCUUUGAAAAAUAAUUAGUCUAUCAGUAUAUAUAAUUUAUGUCACAUGAAAUAGCCAUCAAAUAAGUAUUUCAAAAUACUUCCGUAUGACUACAGUUUUGCGACCACUGACUGAACAUUGUAUGGUAGAUUCAUGGUUAAAACAUGAAUUUAGAUAGCAUCUCCAAUACAAGAUGUAUAUGCAAAAAUAACUACUUUUUGCAUUUUCGAAGCCCCAAAACACCUCUACAAUAGAUGAUGUAGAUGAAUUUUUUUUUUAAAAUUUACACCUCCGCCUCCCGGAGAUGUAAAAUACAACACCUCGUGGUGCAGAUUUGCAUCUCCGCCAACUGGAGAUGUAAAAAGGGCAGCCGCACGCCGACUGCCCAACCGCCUUCCGCUCCCUUCCACGCGACCGCUCGACCUCCGGCCAAAUUCGCACAAAAUCGACGCCACCGUUGCCCGCCUAACGGCCGCCGGGCCCGCCGCGACUUCACCCCCGUCCCCCGCACCUGCCUUGCCAGGGCCGUCGCCCGUAGCCGCCGAUUCCCUUUCGGUCGCCUCUUUGAAUCGAAGCAUCUCCGGCGGUCCGCCUGGCCUAAUGCCUUCCAUGGCAUGGUCGUGAAUGGGCUAGGCUUCUUCCUAGCCAAGAAACCUCGCGGAAGGUAGGGAAGGCGCGCCACGCCGCCCGCAUCGGCCAUUCUUCCGGCCGCGUAAUGUCGGCCGCCGGCAACGCCGAGCUCCCGCCUUCUUCUCUGCUGAGUUGCGACCAUCUCCUCUGCCGAGGCGUGUCACCGCUGCUCGCACCCGCCGCCGCCGAAUGGCAGCCCACCCCGCAGCCGACCGAUUUCGUCCACCCCGCAAGCAAGGUGUUCGAUGAAAUUCCCCAAGGUAAAAAAGAUGAAACUUGACGGUUUUGACAUUCAUAUUUUGGAAUGCCUGGAUCUUGCAAUGACAUCAACGUGCUCGACCAGUCACCUCUUUUUGCCAAGUUAGCAAAUGGAGAAGCACCACUGGUACUACACUGCUCUCUUCUGGUUAUUACUUGAGUAAUUCCGAAUGCAAAUGGUCAAUCAAACUUUUGAAGUUUUGCUACAAAUAUCUUAUGUCUCAUAUGUUUAGCAUAUACAAUUAAACCACACAAUAUGGUUAGUUAAUUAUUAAGCUAUAUAUAUUUUAUUGCAAACCAUGAAAGUAGAUGUGUCCCUAAACUUUGAACUCAGCUUGUUUUCACUCUUGUUGUAUUUUCCUUGUAAAUGCCAGUUUGACAAAUCACAAAGCAAAACUUUUAUCAAGUUAAACAUGUUCUGAAUUUUCUUCCUAAACAAGAAAGCCAUACAGUGAAUGCAUUUUAAUCCCUAAAACAAAAACAAAAACAAAAAAUCAUUUUUUGGUCCUACAACCAUAGACAAACUACUAAUGUUUUCAAAAAAAAGGAGGAUAGCAUGCUUGGCCUCUGCAUUAAUUGAUGCACACAACCAUAUGGUAUUAGGGUUUUGCUUUGAAAACUGUGUUUAGACAAAGACUUGUAUAAAUCUCUAAAAAGACUUAUAUAAAAAAGGCCCGUAAACUUGAUGAAAUGACCACACAUGGCCACCUCUGCACUCUUCGCAACUUCAACUUGUCAAAACUGUGCUAGAAAUGUGGAAUAAAAUUCAUGUAACCCAAGGAUUGAGCAAUGUCGAUCGAGUAAAAUUUGCUAAAAAGAUGACUCGAGCAAAGUUUAUUUUAGUUAGUCAGAAGAUUAAAUUCCAUAAGUAUCUUGUAUACAUUGAUCUAUCGGCCCAAGCAAAACUGAUUAAUCUUGCAACAUCAUUGCGAGAAUUGUGGAAUUCAUUAUCAAUAUUUCUCAGCAAUGUCAGGCUCUUGUGCUCACUUAAAUGUAAUAAUUGCAUGAAACAAGCUAUGUAUUUAUAUUCACCAUUCCUUCGUCCCCUAUGAGCGUUGCUACAUAGACGACAACCCUGGACGAUUUUCAGACGAUUCAGCAGAUCAAGCCAUUGAUGCGUGGAGCAAAACUGACCAACACCGUUCAAUCAAAUAUCGUCCAGCGUUCGUCUAGGCUACUAUCGUCCGCGUAGUAGUUUCGGUCCCCUAUAUAUGCAUGCAAUAAUCCAAGAGAUGGAGUGUAUAUAAGAGUCAUACAUUUGGAGAUUUUGUAUUUUACCAUACAAUCACUAAUUAAUCAAUCUGCUGGCAGUAAAAGGAGCUCAUAUAUAUAUAAUUCCUCAUACAUGAAUUAGAGCAAGCAACUCCAGAUGAUUUUUCACAGAUAAUAAGCAAAAGCAAAUUAAGCAGAGAUUCUAGUUAAUUACCAGCUGCUAGAUGUAUAUGCAAUGCAAGUUCUUCUCUAGUUAUUGGUAUGACGAUGGACUUUGUUGAAGAUCUGAUCUUGAUGAUGCUCGGAGAGGUCGACACAUGGACCACUCCUGAAGUCCUGACUGAUUGAUGCUAGGUAGGUAGCUAGUAGGGCGGCCGUGCAUGCGCCGCCCAUUCCGGUGCCGCGUGCCCGCCACCUCCCGGCAUCAGGUUCGGCGGCACGCCGUACAUCGGCAUCCCCGUGGCGGAGGGGUCGCCGGCCAUCAUCGGAGGAAGAGGAACACCAGCACCGGGGGCACCGUGCCUGCGGGCGGCGUCGAGCUGGUGGUGAUCCUCCUCGGCGUCGUCCAGCGGCAGCCGCUCGUAGGUGGCGUUGGCAAAGGUGGACGCGAUCACCAUGACGGGCCCGGCUGCGGUGAGCGCGCCCACGACGCUGCCCCCGACCACCUGCCCCUGCCCUCCGGCCAGGUACACGGUGAGCCCCGUGGAGCCCGGCGGCGAGGGCCCGGGGAGGAAGGUGCCGGUGAGGGAGAGUAUCUCGAAGCGGCCGCGCAGCGCGACGACGGCCCCCGGCGCGGAGGGCUGGCGCAGGGCGACGUCGGCGACGGUGCCGGCGCCGCUGAGCACGCAGACGCCGCGCUGCCUGCGGCGGGAGAAGUGGGCGAUGGACUCGGCGACGUCGGCGCCGCCGGCCACCUCCAUGACGUGGCUGCGCAGCGCGUUGGGGCUGUCGCGCGUGACGAAGAUGGGCGGCUUGGGCUUGUUCUUGGAGCCCGGGGGCCGGCCGCGCGGGCGGCGGUUCGCCGGCACCACCACCGCGCCCUCCUUGGGCUCGUCGUCCUGCCCGCUGCCCCCUCCGCUGUUGCUGCUCUCCCCGUCGACCUUGGGCGCCGCCAUGGCGUCCUCCAGCUGCUGCUGCUGCUGGUUCUGGUUCUGGUUCUGGUUGCUGGCGAGGCCUGAUGCAGGCGGCGCCUCCGUCAACCGGCCUUCGUCCCACCACCUGUUGGCCAUCUGCACCUAACCUAACUGAUCUCUGCUCCUUUCUUGAUCUGCUCUUCUUCUUCUUGGUGGCUAGCUAGCAAAGCUUUCUUGAUUAAUUAGUUGUUUUCUUCACACCAUGAUGCCCUGGAUCUGCACACAAAUGAAAUGAAGAUCAGAGAAGCUUCAUGUCAACACAAAAGAGAUCGAAUCGACGAAAACUAGCAACAACCAUAUAUACAUGUGAUAGAUACUUGUUUACAGAAUUAAGAAUAUGAUGUGUGUGGGGAUUGGGAAACAGCUCCUUGUUAUCCUUUGAUUUCAUGAGCAAGCUAAAGAAAAGGAUGCAUGGACCUAAAGGGGCCGGGAUCGAUGAACCUGAUCUAGUAUCUAGCUAGGAGAUGGAGAGGAAAUAGAGAUGAGUACCUUGUGCGCCAUGAAAUUGCAGAUAAGCAAACCAGGAAGAUCAAGAAUUAGCUACCUAGAUCCCCAUCGAUUCGAUUGAUCUAGUAUGAGGUUUUUGUUGGUGUGCAGUGGACUAGCUCAGGCCUCAUCUAGUGUGUGUGUUGUAUAUAUGGAGGAUCGAGAAAGCUAGCUAGCUAGAGGGUAGAAGAGGAGGAGGAAGACUUGCUUGCUGCGAGCUGAGUAAGCAGGCUUUGUCAUGGAGAGGGAUGCAUGAGGUGUGUUGAUGGUACCUUGUAGUUGUACUUGUUCCACACCUGCCCCCAAGCUAAUUCACCUCUCUAUAGUUAUCAAAAAAUAUUCACUUCACUAUAGAUCGAUCCAUAUGUAUGUAUACUAGUACUAAAGCAGUAUGUGUACAUGGCAUUCUUCUUCUUACAUACAGAAAAUUAAGGCUAAGUGUGCACCCCUUUAACUUGGUUUACCUAUAUUUUACGGUGGGUAACGUGGUGGGGAGUACAACUCCCACAUACAAAAAAAAAUACUUCGUAUGAUUGCAUGGACCACUAUUGGUACCAUUUUUUUAGCUGCCUACAAGUAUGUAGUACUUAAAAAUGAGUCACCCUGCUACCAUCAAAUGUGGAUUGGCAUAUAUUACCAGCCCCACCAACCGGUUUAUUCAUGUUAAAUUAAUGUAAGGUAUACUUUUCAACGCCGUGAUUUUGAAUACGUAGCCUUACACCGAAUUUUAUAUAAAAAUGAAAAUGACCAUCGAUCCAAGUAGAAAAAAAAAAUCUAUGGUGUAUACACAAAGAUCUACUAUGGGUUUACUCAAGAUCUUCUAUGGGGUGAUUUUGUAUACGUUGCCUUCACUGAUUUGUAUAAAAAAAUGACAAUGACUGUCGAUCGAACUAGAAAGAUCUACGGUACAUACACAAAGAUCUACGGUGGGUCUUGUCAAGAUCUUCUACGUAACAAGUACGUGGGCUCUAAGGCACUCUCGCCAGGCCAGUGAAAACUUGAUGACUCGCACUUCUCGUCUGGUUGGAUGAAGAGAGGUAAUUUUUCUUUCGUUUUGCAACCUUAAGUCUCACACAUAAGAUUUUAAGAAGACCAGUGUCGGGAAAAUAUCCCACUUUGUGAGCGGUUCCCAUUGGGGUUUUCAUUUUGUAUGUAUAAGCAUGUUACAAUUGCCAAAGUCUUAUGUAUUCCACCGGCAGAUGUGGUAUUUAGGCUCUAUCAAACUGGCCCAUGGCUAGUAGAACAGUUCCAUUCUUAGACCAACGUAUUUUUAUAGCUACCGCUAAGUAUAUACUUCAAAAUAAACCAUCCUACCAUCAAAUGUGGAUUGACAUAUAUUACCAACCCAACCAACCGCUUUAUUUAUGUUACAUAUAACAUAUACUUCUCAACAUCGUGAUAUAUAUGCUGAUUUGUAUAGAAAAAAGGAAAUAGUCAUCGAUCCAAGUAAAUGAUAGAAUGGAAGCGGAUUAGGAGCACUCNNNNNNNNNNNNNNNNNNNNNNNNNNNNNNNNNNNNNNNNNNNNNNNNNNNNNNNNNNNNNNNNNNNNNNNNNNNNNNNNNNNNNNNNNNNNNNNNNNNNNNNNNNNNNNNNNNNNNNNNNNNNNNNNNNNNNNNNNNNNNNNNNNNNNNNNNNNNNNNNNNNNNNNNNNNNNNNNNNNNNNNNNNNNNNNNNNNNNNNNNNNNNNNNNNNNNNNNNNNNNNNNNNNNNNNNNNNNNNNNNNNNNNNNNNNNNNNNNNNNNNNNNNNNNNNNNNNNNNNNNNNNNNNNNNNNNNNNNNNNNNNNNNNNNNNNNNNNNNNNNNNNNNNNNNNNNNNNNNNNNNNNNNNNNNNNNNNNNNNNNNNNNNNNNNNNNNNNNNNNNNNNNNGGGCACCCGAGUGCUCCUAUGUAUUUUCGAUGAUACAAUGGCCAACUUCUUUUCCGACAAACAUGAGAUUACACCACCAACCUUUCUAUUAAUAGGUGCACGGAGCAAUGUAUUCAUUAAUUGGAAGUGCGUUAGAGCGAGCGCAUCACACUAGGUACGUAGUAGCGAUAGAGUAUCCAUAUAUAUACAACUCACGCAUCAGAAUUUUGAUUAUAAAUGACACAAGACAGGCAAUGCCAGGUUAUUUCAUACUCACUCCGUUUCAAAAAUAGAUGACUCGACUUUGUACUAACUUUAGUACAAAGUUGGGUCAUCUAUUUCGAAACGGAGGGAGUACGUCUUAAUUAAUUAAUUAUACAUGAAAGACCAUUAUUUGUUGUGGUGUUGGUGGGGCCGAUUAUACUAUGUAUAUUUAUAGUUUACAAUGGGACGAGUGCAGUUAGGCUGGGUAGGAGGGAGUAUGUUGGAGAUUAGGCCUCCUUGCAAGAACGCAUGCACGCUCUACAUUUAUUUUUCGUUGCAUGCAUGCUGAUGUAGGUAGGUAUCACGUAGUAUUGUAUACGUAGCUUGAUUUAUCUUCUUCCACCUAUCUGGGCUUUGUGCGAAUGGACAGCUGUCACUUAUUUGGUAGGUUCAAAAUACCAGCGUUUUCCAAUUACAAAUACUAUUGCAGAUGUGUGUUAAAGAUAUUUGAACUGGUUAAUGUACUUUACAUAAAACCAUGCAUUUCUUUCUUUUGACUUCCCAUGUUCAUGUGUAACAUGUUUUUUUAGAAACACUGAACAAACACAGAACACUCACAUAUACGCAUCUACAAACAUUCCUAUAAGCACUUUCAAGAGACUGAACCAACAAAUUUUGAGAUUGACAAAGUGGCCAGAGGCACCUCGUAGUUGGCAAGAACAUCAUCUUGUACAUCGCCAGAAUGCCUGAAAUAAACUCAGAAAAAUGUGGUCACCCAUGCCAAGUCCAGGACUUCAACUCGGUGGUUCCUCCACAACAAACAUAACCAUCUCAGCUACACUCAAUUUGAUACAUACAUCAUGUUGAUGUACGCUCCUGUUGAUGACUAUCUGUAUACAGAUGCGUAAAUCCUCACAAGGGUUUUUCAAUCAGUUAUAUUUAUUUAUUAACUUAAUAUAUCGCGUCAAGGAGAUAUGAUCGAAAAGAGUUACACGUGCAUGACUAGAAAUACUACUACUAAUAUAUACGUAUAGUAGAAGUAGCUUGCAUUAUGCAUUAUGCCUUUGUUGUGUCGAAAUAAUCAUGUGGUCGUAUGAUUUACUGUUGUUGAUUAAAUCGUCCGGACACUUCCAAAGUCCGUCCUAUUUGUUAAUUAAAUAAACUAAUCCCCUGAUUAGACUAAGUACGGUUCCCAACAGCUAGGGCUGAUCCUCUGUACAUUAUGGCUACCAUACUGUCGUGUACCAGUACCACCCACAUGGAUGUUUCUUGUCAACCAUUCAAGAUCACUUUUAGUUGGGAAGAAAAAUAAUCAAAAUCACCUAUCGACGUCACUCACCAGUUCGACUGACGACUCUGUGACGACAGGUGUCAAGAGAUGUCUAAAUUUGUGUCUCUUGGACCAGGUUAAGUUCAUUGAAAAUUGACCCAUUGUUAAAGAUACACUUAUUAUUGGUUGUAAUUGUUUUGACUUAUCUUCCAUGAGUUUUACGUUACCAUUCAUUCAAACUCCUCUGCUUCUCCUCUAGUACUGCCGUUGCAUCUUGAUCAUGCCAUCGUUGCACCAUUCACUGUUAUCCUUGGCAAAUACUCCCUCUGUCCGAAAAUACUUGUCAUCAAAAUGAAUUAAAGAGGAUGUAUCUAGAUGUAUAUUAGUUCUAGAUACAUCCAUUUUUAUCCACUUUGGUGACACAUAUAUUCGGACGGAGGGAGUACAGAGUAAACCUACGAUCAACCUAUAUAUUACACAUUAUCAUUGCCAUCAACUUGAACUGUAGCUAGAGUUACAUCGACACAAUCAUUCACCCUCUGUCCCAUUGUAAUAACCCCCGAUCUUGCAAGUAGUGGCCAUCCUUAGGAUCUAGAGGGGGGAGUAGAA